AAAGAGAACCCAACUCAGUUUCACUCUAAAGAACUAUUGAUAGAGAGUGAGAAAAAGAGAAAGAAAGAACUAAAGCUCAUAUAGAAAAGAAGAAGAAGAAAAGAUCAGAAGAGAGAUGAAAAGAGCUAGAGGUUGUUAAAUUGUUAUUAUUGCAUUUCACUUUCUCAAUCUUUCUCACUCUUCUGCUAUCACUGCAUAAGAAACUCAUCAGUCCCUCUCUCAAACAAACUUUUUUCAUCAGAAAAGCCAAAAUGACAGCAGUGGUAUUAGUAGUAUGAGUAUCAGACCUCAGAAGAUGCAGGAACAGGAGCAACAGCAGUCUGAGUAUCCGUAAGAGUAAUUAGAGAGAGAGGGACAUAUGUAAAUUUAUAACAAAGUCAAGAUCUCUGAAUUUCUCUCUCUUGAAUUUUCUCACUCUAGAAAUUAUCUUUCUUUCAAAAGAAUUUCAGUUUCCGAGACCCCACUUCCAUAAUAACACCUACAUCUCUAUAUUUCCAAAAGAUUUUUGAAAUUGUUCAGGAAUUUAUUGGAUUUGGAAUUAGUUAGCAGAAGAAUUUGCAGUUGUGGCUACUAGCAGGAGACUGCCUUCUGAUACUGGUGCUUUUGCAGACUGGGUGGCAUCCUCUGCUGCUG
rnacentral:lncRNA from 1 species